CCCCCCCCAAAAAACAAAUUCCUAAAUCUAGAUAAGUUUUUACUCUCUAGUUGGGUGCACGGUAAGAGCUGAAGAAUCAUGAGGUUUAUAGCACUUGCUCUAGUCUUGUUGAUGGUGAGCACUUGUAUGGCCACAACUCAGAGAACGUUGAUGGCUGAAGUGCAGCAGCAGCAGCAGCCAGAAAAGGGCCAGAAUGGUGAAGUUGAAGGCCAAGUAAACGAUAUGAAUCACCAUACCAUUCCUAGACAGGACUUUGGAGGCUACAUUGGCGGUGGGGCUGCUAAACCGUAGUGUAACUAGUUCAAUGAUGAUGCUUGCUAUGUACAUAAUAUAUAGGUUAAAUAAUCCUUGAGCUAGACCAAGCAAAAAAGGAAAGAAAAACGUAAAGUCAUGCUAUAGAUGCAUGGCAUAAGUUGUAUGCGGUUUGGGUUUAUAACCUAUAAUUGUUACCUAUUAGUCUGCAUGUUGCAGCGUACGUAUGUUUCUGUGGUAUAAUAAUCAUAGACUAUGUUUGGAGUGUGUG